rnacentral:lncRNA from 1 species
GCCAUGUUUGGGGGAAUUCCAUACUCCGAAGCUAUUCCUUUCUUUAAUUCCUUUAAAUUCCCAUGAAAUUUAAUCAAAAGAACUAGAAGCUUAACAAGGUACAGAAUUGCUAUAGGGUGCAAGCCAUCAGGUAAGCAUGGCUUUAAUUUCUAGUUUUCCUGCCUCCUGAUGCUGUUGGAUUCUCUGCCACACAGACAAGAUAACUAAGGAAAGAGUAUAAGGGAGAAUAGGAUUGAAAUUAUACUUUGCAGUUAUUAUUUGAGGAUGUAAAUUUACCAAUGAAAUUGAUAGCUUAGAGAGGACUUCGAUUUUUAAGCUAUUGUAUAGCAUCAUCUGUAUACACCUGAUUUGGGUUUUUUUGUUUUUGUUUUUGUUUUUUUUACAGAAUAAAUUUGUGGUUUCUCCUCAGAUAUUGCCUCUUGAUUGGGCCAGAUUUGACAACUAUGAAGUCCUAGCAACAACAUCUGCAGUUUGUUGAUAACCAGCUAGAUCAUUUAGUGGAACUAUAGCACUGAAGAAAGAUUCAAGAAUACAGAAAAUGGACUUCAUGAGAAGUAUGGUUAGUCCUUUCAUAAACAACUGGAAGAAAUGAAAAGUGAUUAUAGCAGCUCACAUUAUCUGGCAUCAGGUCCCUGGCUCAAUAUGACUGCCUUCUUUUCUGGACUCAAGAAGAGAGCAGGUUUCUCCAUCUACCCUUCUUAUAUGCUAAUGACCUCAAGUAAGUACUCAGUAAAUAUUUGUUCAAUAAAUGAAGAAAAUCCUCUCUUGCUACUCUGGUCUUGACAUGCAAGUGACUGUUUAUUCCUUCUCUCUAGAGUGCUACAGUGCUGGUCAUGACCACUCCUUUAUGAACUGAUGUGGGCCGUAGUAAGUGAAUGAAUGGAUAAAUUAAAAAAAAAAUGAAAAGAAUAUGGGGGUGAUUUUUAAAAAUAUUAAGCUAAUUUAAAAAAAUUCCCUGAAUUGAUAGCAUCCCUCAUUUCUCCAUACAUGGGAUUGACGGGUUUUGUUAUUUAAGGGAAAUAAUAGGUACUCUAAAUCCAGAGCCAAGAAGUCAUUUGUUGGUUUUGGUUCUCAGAGCUGACAUUCUUGAGUCUUUAGCAGUACACUGUCUUAUCAAAAAGAGAUUUUCUAAAUCCCAAAACUUUACCUAUCAAGAGUUAAGCCUGCCUGACUCAAAUCAGAGGUUUAUUGUAAUGAGUGGGUUCUUAUCAGUAUCACUUGGGGAGCCUUAAAAAAUACUAAUGCCUAAGCCCUAUUUCUGGAGACUUAUCAGUAUCACUUGGGGAGCCUUAAAAAAAUAC